CAGUCUCACGGCAUUUCGUGAUUUGGUCACGAAAUUUAAUCUAUUUAUUCGUGGCAGGAACACGUUUAUUUCGUUAUUUUCGUAAUUCCAGCACGUUUUUUAAACUAAUGUAUUUCAAUUGGAUGGAUCUUUCGUGCAUAUAGCACGAUUUUUUCUGCCAGUCGGGCUGCAGUAGGGAAGCUAAACAUUUAUUCACAAGAUCUUAUCAAGACUGCAAUAUAUAAGAAUAAAUAGGAAUCGGCAACAAUUAACGAUCUAUGCCAGCGCAAGUCAAUAUUUAUCUGGUCAUUUUCAACUGUUUUUUAAUGUUAAAAGUCCCUCGCAGUCAACAGCUGUUUCCGGUGAGUUCUCAACUGCAGGAUCAAUAGCAUUCAGCAGUGAGUUUAACAACGCUCAAAUGUGGGUAAAAUAACAUUCAGAGAGGAGUUUUAUUAAAACAGCGUUCAACUGCAUGUAAGACAACCUUUUAGAGGUGAGUUUAACAACGCUCCACGGCGCGUGAGAUUAAGUAUUUUAAGCGUUUUCUGAUCAUGUAUUGCUUAUUAGACGUGAUGCAUGCUGGGUGUUAAAUAAUUUUUAUCAAAUGAUCGUUGAUGUUAAUAAAUAUAGAUCUAAAUAUACAUUUUACUUGUGUUCGAUUAAUUAAUAAGUUGUUUAAUUAUUAAUUUGUUUAUUUAAAGUCCUGUAAUAACUGUGACGUCAUCGAAUGAGACGAAGGUCCAUGGCUGUUUCAACUCGGAAGUUGAGAUGAAGUCAUGACAAGGCCCAUAUCUGGUAAGCAGGAAAACUUUCCAUGUCUGCUUUGCAAGCUUGUCCACCAAAAAAAGUCAGGUCACUGGAUAGCCAGUGGGGGAAAUCUGUCCUUAAAAGCAGAAAUGCUGGGCGUAUAAUUAAUUCUGCCUGUAUUGCAGUGCGGAAACUUGAGGCUGUCGGAUACAAGUCAAUUGUAUUUACUGGGAAACGGGAUAAAAAGGACCUGCCGGAGAGCCUCGCCGUGGAGCUGCCAGAGAGCAUCGUCAUGGAACGGCCGGAGAAUCUCAACAAGGAGUCUGAGGCUGUAUUUGCAUUAAAUCUUGUUCCUCUGUCCUCUAGACUCUCUCCAACCUCUCUUGCUCCUAUUACUUUUACAACUAUUUUCCUCCACUUUCUUUCCCACCUCCUCUGACAUGCUCACUAUCACGUCUUUGCCUUUUCAAACUAUACCAUGGCUUCAAACUAUACCAUAAAGCAGGGUGCCCCAAAUCUAACCCUGGAGGGCCGGAGCACUGCAGAGUUUAGCUCCAACCCUGAUCAAACAGACCUGAUCAAGGUCUUUAUGAUCACUAGAAAAUCACAGGUGGGUAAAAUUUAUUAGGGCUGGACCUAAACUCUGUAGUGCUCCGGCCCUCCAGGGUAAGAUUUUGGGAACCCUGGAAUAAAGGGUAACUUUUUUCCUAUUACAUCUUACUCCACAAUUUGCUCCUAGUCAAAUCUAUCUUCAUGUAUAUUGAAUUCAUUUACCUAACCAGGUAAUUGUUAGCCAGUUCACAGUGUUUUAGAGGCCAUUGUCCAAGGGCUGUGGUCAAUAUAAAUUCCUGACUUAAGCUAAGAGGUCUUUGGGAAUACCAACCCAAUACAUUUUGGUUGAUUGACAAAAACAAGCACAAAUUCAUUUGACACUACUGGAAAGAACUGUAUAUCACUUGACAUAAAUAGGGACUCAUGUGAUUGUUACAAAGCAUGGCAUUCAUGUCUUAUUAAAAUGUACUUUUUCUCUUCAUCAUUUCAGGUUGUCGAUAAAAUAACUGGGGAAUUGAUAAAUAAGGGGAAAGCUGAAUUGGAAGUUCACUGGUGACCGUGCUCUGUGUGUGGCAAAACCUGGGAUGACACAUGGGAGACUGCCAGCGAAUUCCAACACAAGUCCCACAUCCCAACCAGCUUUCAGCAUGACGGCCUACACCUUUUUAUUAUCAAGCACCUUUCAAUUCUUUUUGAUUGUCUUUGCUUGCUGUUCUUUAUUAAAGUUUUUGCACAGUA